AAUAUAAAUAUAAGAUUAAUUAUAUAGGCUUCUAACCUAAAAAUAAUGAAUAAUUCAUUUAAUCUUU
rnacentral:tRNA from 1 species